rnacentral:sRNA from 1 species
UCCUCAAGUCCCAGAGCUGAAAAAGGGACAGCAGAGCUCGCCUCCCUCCCUCCAGCAGCCCGGGAUCGCGCCCCGGCAAUGGCUCUCCAUGAAGGAUGAUGAUGUCUGCCCACUGCAGAGUGCACAUGACCUGAAAUGAAUCCUGCCUGAAUUUUUUCCCUUAGGUGAAAUUUAAAAUGUCAGAAGAGACGACCCUGGCGGAUUUACUGCAGCUGAACCUCCACAGUUAUGAGGAUGAGGUCCGCAACAUCGUGGACAAGGCCGUGAAGGAGUCGGGCAUGGAAAAGGUGCUGAAAGCCCUGGACAGUACCUGGAGCAUGAUGGAAUUCCAGCACGAGCCGCACCCGCGGACAGGCACCAUGAUGCUCAAGUCCAGCGAGGUGCUGGUGGAGACGCUGGAGGACAACCAGGUGCAGCUGCAGAACCUGAUGACGUCCAAGUACCUGGCCCACUUCCUGAAGGAGGUGAUGAGCUGGCAGCAGAAGCUGUCCACGGCAGACUCCGUCAUCUCCAUCUGGUUUGAGGUCCAGCGAACCUGGAGCCACCUGGAGAGCAUCUUCAUCGGCUCCGAAGACAUCCGCGCCCAGCUCCCGGGGGACUCCCAGCGCUUUGACGACAUCGACCAGGAAUUCAAGGCCUUGAUGGAAGAUGCAGUGAAAACACCCAACGUGGUGGAAGCCACCAACCAACCCGGCCUCUACGAUAAACUGGAGGCCCUGAAGAAGAGCUUGGCCAUCUGUGAAAAGGCUUUGGCAGAGUAUUUAGAGACGAAAAGACUGGCUUUCCCCAGGUUCUAUUUUGUCUCCUCGGCUGACCUCCUGGACAUUCUCUCCAAUGGCAAUGACCCCGUGGAGGUGAGCCGCCACCUGUCCAAACUCUUCGACAGCCUGUGUAAACUGAAGUUCCGGCUCGAUGCCAAUGACAAACCUCUCAAGGUGGGCCUGGGAAUGUACAGCAAGGAGGACGAGUACAUGGUUUUUGAUCAGGAAUGCGACCUCUCGGGGCAGGUGGAGGUGUGGCUGAAUCGAGUGCUGGACCGAAUGUGCUCCACCCUCCGGCACGAAAUCCCAGAGGCCGUGGUGACCUACGAAGAGAAGCCGAGGGAGCAGUGGAUCAUGGACUACCCGGCCCAGGUGUGUGGCCCCAUGUGUCCUUCUGAAACCUGCCGGGCGAGUACCUGGAGCGCCUUCUUCUGGGAGGCUGAGCCCCGCAAAACCGUCGUUUCCACAGGCCAAAUAAUAGCCACGCACCGCAGCCCCAGGCACCUCUCCCCUCGAGUAACAGACACCUUCAGAAAUAUGUACUUUGAUUUCUCACCUGAAAAUUGGCAAAUGCUACUGUGAGUCUUAAAAAAUAAAUAAAUAAAUAAAAAAGAAAAGUCCUUGGUUAGAAAUAUGGAAACUAAAGAUCAUCUUGAAAAGAAGGAGAAUUUACCUGUAAUUCCACAACCCAAGCAUGACACUGUUCCCUUAUGCAACCUGCCACUCUGUGUGUGUGUAUAAUUGAUUCAUAUGUAAAAAUAUACAGACUCUGGAUGGCGUUAAA